rnacentral:SRP_RNA from 1 species
UUGACACGGAGGACGUUUCUGCAUCUGGUCGUCGUCUUCUCCAGAGGCGUAAUAGAGGAAGAGGAAGAGGUGGUGGUAGUGGUUCUUCAAAGUGCCCAUCUGGAAAGAGCUAUAAUGCUGAUGGUACUGCUGAAUGCU